rnacentral:rRNA from 1 species
CGCUUUGGUGGAUUAGUAAAGUGGCGAACGGGUGAGUAACACGUGGGUAACCUACCCUUCGGUGGGGGAUAACACACCGAAAGGUGUGCUAAUACCGCAUGACACUACAUUAUUUAUUAUGGUGUAGUCAAAGGUGGCGUAAGCUACUGCCGGGGGAUGGGCCCGCGGACCAUUAGCUUGUUGGUAGGGUAAUGGCCUACCAAGGCAACGAUGGUUAGCUGGUCUGAGAGGAUGACCAGUCACACUGGAACUGGAACACGGUCCAGACUCCUACGGGAGGCAGCAGUGAGGAAUCUUGCGCAAUGGGGGGAACCCUGACGCAGCAACGCCGCGUGAGUGAAGAAGGCCUUCGGGUUGUAAAGCUCUGUCAGAGUUGAAGAAACAGUUAUGGGUUAAUAACCCAUGGCCCUGACGGUAAACUCAAAGGAAGCACCGGCUAACUCCGUGCCAGCAGCCGCGGUAAUACGGAGGGUGCAAGCGUUGUUCGGAAUCAUUGGGGCGUAAAGAGCGUGUAGGCGGUUAGGUCAGUUAGGUGUGAAAUCCCGAGGCUCAACCUCGGAACUGCGCCUAAAACUUCCUGACUUGAGUACGGGAGAGGUAGGUGGAAUUCCUGGUGUAGAGGUGAAAUUCGUAGAUAUCAGGAGGAACACCGGUGGCGAAAGCGACCUACUGGACCAAUACUGACGCUGAGGCGCGAAAGCGUGGGGAUCAAACAGGAUUAGAUACCCUGGUAGUCCACGCCCUAAACGAUGAGAACUAGCCGUUGGAGGAGUUAAAUCCUUUAGUGGCGUAGCUAACGCGUUAAGUUCUCCGCCUGGGGAGUACGGCCGCAAGGUUAAAACUCAAAGGAAUUGACGGGGGCCCGCACAAGCGGUGGAGCAUGUGGUUUAAUUCGAUGCAACGCGAAGAACCUUACCUGCCCUUGACAUCUGGGGAACCUUGCAGAGAUGUGAGGGUGCCUUCGGGAACCCCAAGACAGGUGCUGCAUGGCUGUCGUCAGCUCGUGUCGUGAGAUGUUGCGUUAAGUCGCGCAACGAGCGCAAGCCUUGUCCUUAGUUGCCAGCGGUUCGGCCGGGAACUCUAAGGAG